AACGAACGCUGGCGGCAUGCCUAACACAUGCAAGUCGAACGAGACCUUCGGGUCUAGUGGCGCACGGGUGCGUAACGCGUGGGAACCUGCCCUUAGGUUCGGAAUAACUCCCCGAAAGGGGUGCUAAUACCGGAUAAUGUCUUCGGACCAAAGAUUUAUCGCCUUUGGAUGGGCCCGCGUUGUAUUAGCUAGUUGGUAGGGUAAACGCCUACCAAGGCGACGAUCCAUAGCUGGUCUGAGAGGAUGAUCAGCCACACUGGGACUGAGACACGGCCCAGACUCGUAGGGGAGGCAGCAGUGGGUAAUAUUGGACAGUGGGCGAAAGGCUGAUCCAGCAAGGCCGCGUGAGUGAUGAAGGCCUUAGGGUUGUAAAGCUCUUUUGCCCGGGAUGAUAAUGACAGUACCGGGUGAAUAAGCUCCGGCUAACUCCGUG
rnacentral:rRNA from 1 species